GGAUGGAAUUGAGAUCAGAAGACAGAGGAAGACAAGACAUUUCCCUGGGACACUCUCAUGUUUAUGGAAUGAAUUGAGGCGCGGCACAGUCCGGAACUGAUCAGUGUAAGGGAGCCGAUAUCCCGGUGGUGGAUUUAAAGUUUUUAGGAGGGGCACAGGUAACGGCCAAAGGGUGACAAAGCCGCCGAGGAGAAUGAAGAAAUUGCCAAGGAGGAAAAAGACAGAAGGGUAAUCUAUUGGGAGUGUGUCGGGGGCUGAGACAACGUCUAGGGAUCAAUGUUUUCACUGCAUGUAGGAGACGCAAGGGUCGGACUGGGCCAGCGGGACACCAGGAAAAAACCUGAUGGGCCGACAGCCCUUAUGGACCCGCCGACCCAGACCUGUUAUUGGCUGUGCCCCCCCACCUCCCUCGCUGUCCCUGGUUGCAGCCACGAGCAGGAAAAAGGAAAAUGCCAGUAAGAAGCAAAAGAAAAGAGAUAAAGCAGAAGGGAUGGAAUUGAGAUCAUAAUACAGAAGAAGACAAGACAUUUCCCGGGACACUCUCAUGGAAAAUGCCAGUAAGAAGCAGAAGAAAAGAGAUAAAGCAGAAGGGAUGGAAUUGAGAUCAUAAUACAGAAGAAGACAAGACAUUUCCCGGGACACUCUCAUGAAAAUACUCUCUUUCCGUGGUGCCAUUGAUUUGGCUCGGAUUAAAGGUGUCGAGAUUGUGAUCACUGAUCUCAGCAAUGCUUGCAGGAACAGAUACCCCUUCCAGGAACAUGGGGAUAUGGUCUUUUUCCGUGCCUAGAAGGUGCCUCGAUUGAAGAUUCUGGAGCCCAAAAACAGUUUCGUAUCCCUUAUCUUCAAUCCCAGCUUGCCAAAGGUACUUCCAACACACCAGAAUUGAGAUGUUUGACUAUGAGGAAGGAAAACAAAGGAAUUAAUGUGAAUGUGCCCUGGAGUGGUCGUUGGUCGCAAGUGGAGGAUAUCAGUAGGUGCCAUCUUGUUCACAAACAGCACAGGCAAGUAAGUCCUGCCAUUGCUUGAAUGAGAAGUGCAAGAUACGUGUCCUGGUGUAUUUGUCCUCUUGUAAUCUUCUAUAAACAUUUAAAUGAUUCAGAGAAUGAAUCUAAGUCAAUAAAUAAGUAAGUUAAAAGUUUUUA